UGUAUUUUAGUAUAAGAUGUAUAAAAGUUUUUGGAACUUUGGGUAAAGGUCUAAUUCCUUUAGGUACAA
rnacentral:tRNA from 1 species